rnacentral:rRNA from 1 species
UACAGGGGGUGCAAGCGUUAUUCGGAAUUAUUGGGCGUAAAGAGCUCGUAGGCGGCCGUUCACGUCGGAUGUGAAAGCUCGGGGCUCAACCCUGAGAGGCCAUUCGAUACGGGACGGCUAGAGGUAGGUAGGGGAAAGUGGAAUUCCUGGUGUAGCGGUGAAAUGCGCAGAUAUCGGGAGGAACACCGGUGGCGAAGGCGGUUCUCUGGGCCUUACCUGACGCUGAGGAGCGAAAGCGUGGGGAGCGAACAGG